AUGAUUCCAUUAAAGUAUUUCGUAUGGCCUGAUGCCAGUGUAGACACAAGCUGCACGGACGUCAAAGGAACAGAGCCAACACAGGCCAGAACAAGCGAUCCACUGCAGACCCCCAGCUCAGCUUCCACGGCGCACACGGCAUACCCACCGCUAAUCGUGUGAACCCGCUGUCACUUCAGCCGUAAUUGCCAGUCAAAGAACAACCCCGCUCGGCUAUUAUCAUCAUUUGGCAUGACAAAUGUGCCGCGUCACCGCUUGACAAGUGCCUGGCACUGUGAUUCGAAUUGGACUCCCAGUGCGCUCUGGGAGUUGGAAUGAAGAAUGGAGAAAGACUAGGAAUGGAGAGAAGAAACGCAAAUUCACAUCUUCCAUUAAAUGAACCAAGCAGGAGAAGCAGAAGGCGGUUCCUUUGAAAUUUUUGCCAUUUUCCCUUUCUUCACCGCACCCGAAGAUGCCUCUGUGGGCUCUUAGGGCUUCUGGGGUCUGAUAGUGCCUUUCAGGAACGGCUGCAGGGCUUUAAUAACUGAAGCGGCAACACCUCCCACCGCAAACAAACAGGGGCCAGACCGAGGAGAGGAGGCCGCAGUACGACCGUUUUCUUUACUUUCAGUAGUGCACCAUCAUGGUGACAUGAGAAAAAUAUAUCUAAAAGCAUAUUUUUAAUGGUGUGUUACUUUUCCUCAUACCUUAUUUCUAUUAGAAUGGCUACAUGGUCGUUUUAAGGUUGGCCACACGUGGCGAACAACUUGCAUUUCGAUUCGGAGGAUUUGUGUGGCGUCGCUUUAAAAAUCUCUCCCUAGCUCUGGCUGUGGAAAAAAAUCCAGUGGAAAUGGCAUUUGGCUGGUGGGCCUGAGUACGUUCACAGGCAACUGGGGUCAGAGAGUUAGUGGGGUUCCACUAGCACCAACCUCAGGACCACUUCACUUUUUAUUCGUUCAUUUGGCGAGUUUCUUCCAUUCGUUAAUUUCAGGCUUGUUCUCCCGGCAUCA
rnacentral:lncRNA from 1 species